rnacentral:rRNA from 1 species
CUACGGGAGGCAGCAGUGAGGAAUUUUGCGCAAUGGGCGAAAGCCUGACGCAGCAACGCCGCGUGAGUGAUGAAGGCUUUCGGGUCGUAAAGCUCUGUCAAGUGGGAAGAACCUAUAUAAUGUUAAUACCAUUAUAUACUGACGGUACCACUGAUGGAAGCACCGGGUAACUCCGUGCCAGCAGCCGCGGUAAUACGGGGGGUGCAAGCGUUAUUCGGAAUCAUUGGGCGUAAAGAGCACGUAUGCGGCCUGGUAAGUCAGAUGUGACAGCCCGGUGCUUAACCCCGGGAGUGCAUUUGAUACUGCCAGGCUUGAGUAUGGGAGUGGGAAGUGGAAUUCCUGGUGUAGAGGUGAAAUUCGUAGAUAUCAGGAGGCACACCGGUGGCGAAGGCAACUUCCUGGACCAAUACUGACGCUGAGGUGCGAAGGCGUGGGUAGCAAACAGGAUUAGAU